rnacentral:rRNA from 1 species
GUGCAGCAGUCGCGAAUCUUCCCCAAUGGACGAAAGUCUGAGGGAGCGACGCCGCGUGAAUGAAGAAGCCCUUCGGGGUGUAAAAUUCUUUUCUUUAGGAAAAAUUCGUGAUGGGUACUAAAGGAAUAAGGGGCCGCCAAACUCGUGCCAGCAGCGGCGGGUAAUACGAGUGCCCCGAGCGUUAUCCGGAAUUACUGGGCGUAAAAGCCGCUAAAAGGCGGUUUGAUAAGUCAGACGUCAAAUCUCCGAGCUCAACUCGGAGCCGGUGUCUGAAACUGUCUAACUUGAGGACGGAAGAGGGCAAGCGGAAUGGCUGGUGUAGCAGUAAAAUGCGUUAAUAUCAGCUAGAACACCAAUGGCGAAGGCAGCUU